AAAUCAUACUCUCCCCAAAGAUUAGAUCUUCACAUAUACAUGUAAUCCCUGGGAGAAAUCUGGAGCCUUGCAUGCCUUGAUAUUUAUUCAAACAAACUAGUGUGUUUGAGGAUGAAAAUAAUGGUUGAUCUAAACCUUAUAUAUAUAUCAAUCUACCUAAGAUAAUAGAAGUUAUAGCUUUUUACACUUUCUACUACAAAUGCAACUCACAUUGUAACAGCAUCAUCACCUUGUUUUCCAUGCUUAAGAACAACAGAAUACAGUCUCAUGGCCAAAGAAACUUGUACCUUCACCCUAUUUUCCUCACCAAACUAAAAUCUCACUAAUAAAUUAUAUGUAUAUAUAUAUAUGACUGCUACACCACAACAGCAACAACCACCAAAACAGUCCUUGUCAUUGCUGCUCUCUAUCGGAAUCUCUAUCUUCUCUGAAGCUUCCCUUUGCUUGUAUCUGCAGCAAAUCGAAUAAAGGAAGACCCAUCACCUUGAAUAACCAUAUUUGGGAUUAACUGAGGUGGGCUUUCUCUAUUAUGGCUCCCAUGAUCAUAAGACAUGAAAGCUGGAUUAUAGUAAUCAACAAGAGCUGGGUUCUUAGAUAUAGUAGUGUUAUCAUGGCCAAUUCGAUUUUUCAAGUUUUGGUCUAGUGAAUCUUUAAUGCUGGAACCACAUUGUCUAGGCUGAGUUUGGUAGAAAACCUUUGAAACCACUAGCUCUCCAUCUUUCUCUUCUUCGUUGUUGCCAAGAUGGUAUUGGUGCAUAACCCAGUUUGUUUUUUCAGGUUUCCUUUGCCUUCCGUAGUUUGUAUAAAGCACCAAAAUCUUUUUGUAUCCUUUCACUAUCCCACCAAUGAAAACUGGCCUUGUCUUGCCUGUUUUGUGCCAUCUAGUCUCGCUCCCAUCUUCAUCAGUAUGCACUUUUCUGCGUUUUCUAGUUCCAGUUGUGUAUGCCUUUGAUGGCCGAUGAAAAAAGUGCCGAACUUGGCCGUCAUUGCUUACUCCUGGUAGCUUCUCUGGAUGAGUAUAGCAAAUUCCAUUCUCUCCCUCUAUUGUUGGGAUGAAUUCAUCAAUUAGAGGGUGAAGCUUACGCAUAUCAGACAAUACCAUGGCCUCUAAAUGCUCAAGUAUUUCUUGAUCUGUCGGAUCAAACUUUACUCCUGCUGGUAGUCCAGGUAAAUC
rnacentral:misc_RNA from 1 species